UACGAAGGGGGCUAGCGUUGUUCGGAAUUACUGGGCGUAAAGGGCGUGUAGGCGGCCCGUUAAGACAGGUGUGAAAUCCCUGGGCUCAACCCAGGACGUGCGCCUGUGACUGGGGGGCUUGAGUCCGGUAGAGGGUGGUGGAACUCCCCGUGUAGAGGUGAAAUGCGUAGAUAUGUGGAGGAAUACCCGAGGCGAAGGCGGCCCCGUGGGCCUGUACUGACGCUAAGGCGCGACAGCGUGGGGAGCAAACAGG
rnacentral:rRNA from 1 species